rnacentral:lncRNA from 1 species
UCAACAUCAACACCUGUGCACCAUAUCAGACAUCCUGUUGUAGCACCUGUGCACAUCUUUCAAUAAUAGUUGUCCUUCUGUCUAGCCACAUACAUCUUAGCCAGUACCCAGCUCCAACCAACUCCACCAGCUCCACAUACUUCUCCCCAUUUUUAGUCAAAAUUGACCAAAGGUAAAUAAAUCUCAUAGAAUCUUUACACCCAUCACAUCUUU